GCGUAGGUUACAUGCCUCUUAGUUUGGGAUAAGCAUUGGAAACGAUGUCUAAUACCAGAUGUGAACUUCGGUUUAAAGGCUUCGGCCGCUAAGAGAUUGGCCUGCGUUGCAUUAGCUAGUUGGUAAGGUAAUGGCUUACCAAGGCUUCGAUGCAUAGCGGAUCUGAGAGGAUGAUCCGCCACACUGGGACUGAGAUACGGCCCAGACUCCUACGGGAGGCAGCAGUGAGGAAUAUUGCACAAUGGACGAAAGUCUGAUGCAGCAAUACCGCGUGAACGAAGAAGGUCUAUGGAUUGUAAA
rnacentral:rRNA from 1 species